rnacentral:piRNA from 1 species
AAAAAACAAAAACCCUAGCAUGUGACCAUGAA